rnacentral:lncRNA from 1 species
GUCUGAAAUGCAAAGUCUGGCUGGGUAGGCAAGCUAGUGAGCUGGUGAUAAAUAAACUAUAGCAUGGACUCUAAAUGCAGUCAUUAAUUUAGGUCUUUAGCAGGAGGGAGAGGACUUUACCUGGGUCUUCCAAAAUGAGGAAGGGGAGAGAUUUUGGUAAGUAGAGCAGAAUGAGGGCAUUUCAGAAAAGGAAAAACAUUUGUCUACCUGCUGUAAGGGGACAUGAAAUGGUAGAUGCCUGGGACAAUAUGGUCACCUGCCCAAGGAGCAGGGGAGUAAUAAACCAGCAUGAGAUACCAUCAUCUGAAGCAAUUUGUGGCAGCAUCUCUGCGGUUACCACACCAUCACCUCAUUACUUCACCAAGCUGUAAUUUUCCAUAUUACUAAUGGGGUUGCAAAGAAUCUAGUGUUUCCUAUUCAGUGAGGGCUGAAGUUGGGAAAAAUAAGAAAUCUUCU